UACGUAGGCAGCGAGCGUUGUUCGGAGUUACUGGGCGUAAAGGGUGUGUAGGCGGUUGUUUAAGUUUGGUGUGAAAUCUCCCGGCUCAACUGGGAGGGCGCGCCGAAUACUGAAUGACUUGGAGUGCGGGAGAGGAAAGUGGAAUUCCUGGUGUAGCGGUGAAAUGCGUAGAUAUCAGGAGGAACACCGGUGGUGUAGACGGCUUUCUGGACCGUAACUGACGCUGAGACACGAAAGCGUGGGUAGCAAACAGG
rnacentral:rRNA from 1 species